UAGGGAAUCUUCCACAAUGGGCGCAAGCCUGAUGGAGCGACGCCGCGUGAGUGAGGAAGGUCUUCGGAUCGUAAAGCUCUGUUGUUAGGGAAGAAGAAGCGCCGUUCGAACAGGGCGGCGCGGUGACGGUACCUAACGAGAAAGCCCCGGCUAACUACGUGCCAGCAGCCGCGGUAAUACGUAGGGGGCGAGCGUUGUCCGGAAUUAUUGGGCGUAAAGGGCGCGCAGGCGGCCCCUUAAGUCAGUUGUGAAAGGUCCCGGCUCAACCGGGGAGCUGCAGCUGAAACUGGGGGCGUUGAGUGCAGGAGAGGAGAGCGGAAUUCUCGGUGUAGCGGUGGAAUGCGUAGAGAUCGGGAGGAACACCAGUGGCGAAGGCGGCCAUCUGGACCAGCACUGACGCUGAGGCACGAAAGCGUGGGGGAGCGAACAGGAUUAGAUACCC
rnacentral:rRNA from 1 species